AUUACGUGCUUUGCCAUACCCGUUGUUAAUUAGAUAUGCUCCCUGCCUCUUGAGUUUCGCCUCUUCAGUUCCGCUGCUUGUGUGUAUAAUAUGUACUGAAAUUUUUUCCGCAGCUAAUUAUCAGAGUCUCAAACCCAAUUAGAAAGGAUAGGGGUUGAAUGCUAUACUAUUGAUUGUACUAGAAUGCUGCUGCUUUGUUUGCAUCUGAUUGGUAAAAAGAAUAUAAGUUUAUAGAGGAAAAAAAAGGGCGAGGAUAAGAAAAUUGAAUAUGGAGAUGUGGCUUUGGGGUUUGAUUUAAUAGGGGGAAGAGCUAAACUUUGCCUAAAAGAUACAUAGAGCGACAAGAAGUCUUAGUGGCAAGGAGAUGAUGAUCUUCUGUGUAGACAAAGUUGAUCUCAAGGAUUUGAUGUUCAGUUGGAGAAGCACUUGAACAGGUUCCUUCAAUCAACCUAAAAACCAUAUUUGCCUCUACCCAAAGAAGAUUGGGAGCUUGAUCUAUGUAACCUGGGGAUAAAAUACUAUAAAGCUCUGGUACUGUAUAUAGGGUAACUUAUGAGGAAACAGACGUUGCAGUGAAGCUGCUGGAUUGGAGAGAGGACGGGAAUGCCAAUAGUGCAGAAACUGCAGCUGUGAUGUCAUCAUAUUUAGAGAAGGAUCAAUUACACUUAACAUACGGGAUUGGUGUUGGGUUAGAAUCCAUGACAAUAAACUCCAUGCGUUGGGAUGGAACAGUCAAUUCAAGGGUGGCGCAAAACUGUCUUCUACCAAUGGCUGUUGCAAGUCGUGAUGGAGUUACAAGAUUGGAUCAGGAUCAAGCUGCAGUUGUUUUCUGGAUCUGACUGUUCAACAUUACAGUAAUAUUUCUAUUAUGUUACCUCUUUUUUUUAUGUACUUCAUUAGGUUGAUUUACACAAAAAGGCUUCGGCGGCUGCUGCUGCUGCUUUAGGAAGGUUUAAGGAUGAGAUAGUACAUGUACACACCAAGAUCGUGGACAUUAAAAAUAGGGAUAAAAAACCUGUUACAAUCUCUGUGGAUGAUGUGAUUCGGGCAAACAUAGAUGUGGCAGAUCUUGGGAACUAAAGCCCUCAUUUAAGAAAGACAGGACGACGACUGCUGGUAACUAGGGGAGAGCAUUUGGUUUGGUUAACCGGUAACUGAACUGAAUAACCGAAGAAAUGAAACAACUAGAUGAACCACUAGAGAAAAUGAACAUGGAUGCAAGUUCUGCAGCAGCUUCAGCGACUGGAACAAGUCAUCCACCCACUUGCAGUUUGAAGCUAUAUGAUGCAGUAGAUUAGAUGGGUACUCUGAAAAAUAUAUAAGACUGUAUCAUUAGUUUGGUUAAUCAAUCUACACUUCACUGCUAUGUUUUCUCAGUUGUACACUUUUUAUUUUCUGUAUCUUUUUUUGUUUACUGUAAUUGUUAGAGGUCUUUGGGAGGUAAUUGUGCUGUACAUAUUAAGUUUGAGUUGGCAUUUCAAAAUUAUCUGCCCAGGCUGCAUAAGUUGUACAAUAAUUAUUUGAUCGAGCUUGCAGUUUGAAGCUGCAUGAUAUUGUUUGAACAAAGUAGAGGUACUUCUGGUAUAUGGUUCUCUAACCUUAUGCCUUAGGUCGUUUUAUUGUUUCUGUAUUGGUAGCCAUGUUAAUCCGUCCUGAGAAGGUCAUGUUCUUGUUUUGCUGCUGGAUAGCUUUCUCUCUUUCAAGUUGAGAAUAAGCAUAAUUGAGUAUCUGGCCAUGAGUUUGAACUUGCUUUUCUUUGGGAAUCAUUUGGAUUCAUUUUCUUUCCAUCAGAAAUAGCAUCCUGUUGCUGAGAGGCACUUGCAGUUGUAUAGUUCUGAACUAGUGAUUGAUCAUCGUCCACUUCAAUUCUAGAAAAUUCAGGAUGCUUGAUACUUUUUAAAUUCAGUUGUUAUUAAUUGUACAUGGACAGAAGAGCUUCUCUUUUUUGUUUACUGGAAAUGAUACAGAGUCGUGGAUUCUAUUUGUUUUACGGUUUUUCUAUGGUGUGCCCAUGGGCACACAAUAAGCACUAACUCCUAUGAUUUUGAUGCAUUUUUAUUGGUCAUCUAAUCAUAAAUAAGGAUGGCCCCCCUGCAUUUACACCAAAGUCCACCAACUAAAAUCCACCAAACUCAUCAAAUUUAGUGUAUAUAUAAUGUGUGCCCAUGGGCACACACUAGACAAACCCUGCACAAUAUUGUUGGCUAAGUUCAAUCUUCCCAUCCCUGCAAUUGUUCAGGCCAUUAGUGUUUUAAAAAGACUUGACAUGUUUCUUCGGAUAGUAUCAGUCAGGCACUCAGUCGCAUAACCAUGCACCAUCACUCCAUAAGUUGUAAAUGAUUUAAGUUAAGUUACUGUAUGAUCUGAGCUUGCCAUGUAGUUAUCGGUCCACCACUUAAAUACAUAUAUAUGUUAUUGUAUUCCUUUGUCAU